rnacentral:rRNA from 1 species
AUGGGCUCCUACCGCUACAGCUCCGCCUCGCAGUUCUUCUUCGCCGCCGGCGAAGCCGGCCCCGGCCCCGCCGCGCGCAAGCCCGCCAGAACCGUGCGGAUCCCCGUCACCACGCCUCAGGACGCGGCGGCCGCCAGGAUCCAGGCGGCGUUCCGGAGCCGCCGGGUCCGGAGGCACGUCGCGGCCGUGCGCUCCGCCGACGCCGAGGCGACGCGGCUCGAGCGGCUGCUCCGGCGGCAGGAGACCGUGGACGCCGUCCGCGGCGACGACCGCGAGCGCGCGCGCUUCUCGGAGGCGCUCAUGGCCGUGCUGCUCCGCCUCGACGCCGUCCCGGGCCACGACCCGGCCGUGCGGGAGGCCCGGCGCGCCGUCAGCCGCCGCGUCGUCGGCCUCCAGGAGGUGUUCGACUCCGUGCUCGCGGCGCCCGAGGCCGACACCUACGGCGUCCCGGCGAGCCUGGCCCAGGUUCUCGAGGGGAUCUGGGGCAUCGGAGAGGCGCCGGUUGCGCCGCCGCCGCCGGCGGUGGCCGCGGAGGAGGAGGCGAGGAGGAGUGGCUGGGGCAGGUUUUUCGCGGUACUUUAG